AGGGAAAGGUCUCUAAAUAUAGUGAUUUUUAUGGAGCCAGGACCUAGUGCAAGUUUUCCGAGCUCUAGUGAAUCUAAGCAUGGCGACGCUGUUUCUUAAAAAACAAAUUUUAAUCUUUGUCAAGAUGUUUCCUUCUAAUUACAACAACAACAACAUACCCAGUGUAUUCCCGCAAGUGGGGUGGGGUAGAGUGUACGCAGACCUUACCCCUGCCUUUAAAAGGCAGAGAGGCUGUUUUCGGAAAGAUGUUUCCUUCUGAUUAGAAAAAGAAAAUGUUUUUGACUCUGAAAGGUAGUAGUUAGUAGAACGUACAUUCUCAAUCAUUAGAAAGGAAAUGGUACAAGUACUUUUCUUUCUUCUUCUUCUUGCCUUGUAUGUUGGCUUCCCUUUAGUUUUCCAUUGCCAUGGUUUCACUUCCUAGGGAUUCCUUUUCUUUUUAUCUUUUGGCUGUAUAUGAACUGAUUCUUUUAAACUUAUCAGGGUUGUCAGACUGAACUUCCACAUUUUAUGCACUUACCAAAAUUAUAAGAAGCAGGCGUCCUGAGCAGAGAGGGAAAACAUAUACUAUGCAAUGAUGUGCUCUUUCCUUAAUGGAGAAAACAUAUACUAUCCAAAGGACAUAUCCACUUGCAUUGGUUCCUAUGAUGUUGCUCCAGGUCAAAUUUAUUGUGGUUUCUUUUUAUGUCAUAAAAUGUUUUCUGCUCUUGAAAUCUAAGUAAUAAGUCGGACAGGUAGGAUAAGUGAGAGUGGCCCUGAGGUUUUGAUACUGAAUAUUUUGUUAAACUUUUAAAGGGCCUCUAACUGGACAAUUUUGAUAAGGUAACAGAUUUUUGUCUUUUGGAAAUGGUAGCUUGGCUCAAAAGAGUAGCAAUUAUGUCUACAUGCUAUAUCAGGCCUUUUUGGACUGUGUCCUUUAACUAUGCCACUGGAUUUCACCGCCUUCUAUAAUGGCUAACUAAUUACUUGUUUACACCUGACUUUCCUGUUAGAUAACAGUAUCAUUCUUGCUGGUUUGAACAUCUUUAGCAUACUAGAUAGCUUGGGAUUUUGGCUCUGUAACUUAAGUAACACUAGCCCUCGGUAUGAUUGGCAUUUUCAACAUAGUAGAAAGGCAUAUUAAUGUUUCGUAUUGUGAAACUUGAAACACCUGCAAUGUUCACCCAUACUAUGCAUUAAUCUGCUUAUCAUUGCUACAGUAUAAUAUUUCUGUUGUCAUUCAUGUAUUGUCUAAUUUUGUCUGUCUAAUUUGUGGACAUGCUGCUAUGUGUCUUCUAGUUUUUACGCUUAAAGGCAUCUGACAAACAUUCGCAGAGUUUUGAUGCAAAUAUGAUAUGGGGUUCAAGCCACCAUAUGUGGAUAUAGUGAGAGUAGCCAAUGGUGCUCAGCCUCAUGCAAAGCAUCUUUUACUUUAGUGAAGCCAGGUACGAUCAGGUGAAAGCCAGGCUCGAUCAGGUGUUCUGUUACAUCAAAGAGAAGCCGGUACACUGAUUUACUGUUUAAAUCUAUAUGCUGCAGGUCUAGUUGUUUUAUAUUGUUAUCUUUUCUUUUUUACUUUUAACAGGUAGUGUUUGAAUUAGUUUGCACGCAUCUAGACUAUUUCUUACCUCUUAUGUCCCACCAACUCAAGUAUCGGCUAAAUAUCCAUCAAAGCUUAGGUCAACUAAAAGAAGUCAUCUAGCGUUUUUUUGCCUCUGCUGCUAUUUGAAUUGUGUUCUUUCAUGAUAUUCACUCCUUAGAUUUACUGCAAGGUCAUACUCUUGGGUGCUAACGAUAUACUGCUGGCCUUGUUUCGUUAAUUCACCGACUUCAGUCAAUAUUGAUGACCCAUUAUGAAAUUUUAACUCGUGCACAGUUCAUGAUAAAGGCAUGGAUUGAUCCUUUUGGGAGCUAUUCUUUGCUUAGUUCCUAUGUGUAAUGUUUAACUCCACAAUGUGAACUUAUCAGAUUGUAUUUUUAUAUUGACUUAAUUUUUGCCUUA